rnacentral:rRNA from 1 species
UACGUAGGGUGCAAGCGUUGUCCGGAAUUAUUGGGCGUAAAGGGCUCGUAGGCGGUCUGUUGCGUCAGGAGUGAAAACUCGGGGCUUAACCCCGAGCCUGCUUCUGAUACGGGCAGACUAGAGGUAUGCAGGGGAGAACGGAAUUCCUGGUGUAGCGGUGAAAUGCGCAGAUAUCAGGAGGAACACCAAUGGCGAAGGCAGCUCGCUGGAACGGUACUGACGCUGAGGCGCGAAAGCGUGGGGAGCGAACAGG